rnacentral:rRNA from 1 species
UACGAAGGGGGCUAGCGUUGCUCGGAAUCACUGGGCGUAAAGCGCACGUAGGCGGAUUGUUAAGUCAGGGGGUGAAAUCCUGGAGCUCAACUCCAGAACUGCCUUUGAUACUGGGGAUCUCGAGUCCGGAAGAGGUGAGUGGAACUCCGAGUGUAGAGGUGAAAUUCGUAGAUAUUCGGAAGAACACCAGUGGCGAAGGCGGCUCACUGGUCCGGUACUGACGCUGAGGUGCGAAAGCGUGGGGAGCAAACAGG